AUUGAACGCUGGCGGCAUGCUUUACACAUGCAAGUCGAACGGUAACAGGCCGCAAGGUGCUGACGAGUGGCGAACGGGUGAGUAAUGCAUCGGAACGUGCCCAGUCGUGGGGGAUAACGCAGCGAAAGCUGCGCUAAUACCGCAUACGAUCACUGGAUGAAAGCGGGGGACCGAAAGGCCUCGCGCGAUUGGAGCGGCCGAUGCCAGAUUAGGUAGUUGGUGGGGUAAAGGCCCACCAAGCAAACGAUCUGUAGCUGGUCUGAGAGGACGCCCAGCCACACAGGGACGGAGACCCAGCAAAUAGACAUAAUGGACGCAGAAGGGGGGAAUUUUGGACUAUUAGCGCAAGCCUGAUGUAGCAAUGCCGCGAGGAAGCAGAAGACGUUCCGGUUGUAUACUGAUUUGGUACGGAACGAAACGGUCCGGGUUAAUACCCUAGGCUAAUGACGGUAACGUAAGAAUAAGCACCGGCUAAAUACGUGCCAGCUGCCGCGGUAAAAC
rnacentral:rRNA from 1 species